UGGGGAAUAUUGCACAAUGGGGGAAACCCUGAUGCAGCGACGCCGCGUGAGCGAAGAAGGCUUUCGAGUCGUAAAGCUCUGUCCUAUGAGAAGAUAAUGACGGUAUCAUAGGAGGAAGCCCUGGCUAAAUACGUGCCAGCAGCCGCGGUAAUACAUAUGGGGCGAGCGUUGUCCGGAAUUAUUGGGCGUAAAGGGUACGUAGGCGGUUUUUUAAGUCAGGUGUCAAAGCGUGGAGCUUAACUCCAUUAAGCACUUGAAACUGAAAGACUUGAGUGAAGGAGAGGAAAGUGGAAUUCCUAGUGUAGCGGUGAAAUGCGUAGAUAUUAGGAGGAAUACCGGUGGCGAAGGCGACUUUCUGGACUUUUACUGACGCUCAGGUACGAAAGCGUGGGGAGCAAACAGG
rnacentral:rRNA from 1 species